CCUACGGGAGGCAGCAGUGGGGAAUAUUGGACAAUGGGGGGAACCCUGAUCCAACCAUGCCGCGUGUGUGAAGAAGGCCCUCGGGUUGUAAAGCACUUUCAGUGAGGAAGAACGCCUGGUGGUUAAUACCCAUCAGGAAAGACAUCACUCACAGAAGAAGCACCGGCUAACUCCGUGCCAGCAGCCGCGGUAAUACGGAGGGUGCGAGCGUUAAUCGGAAUUACUGGGCGUAAAGCGCGCGUAGGUGGCUUGAUAAGCCGGUUGUGAAAGCCCCGGGCUCAACCUGGGAACGGCAUCCGGAACUGUCAAGCUAGAGUGCAGGAGAGGAAGGUAGAAUUCCCGGUGUAGCGGUGAAAUGCGUAGAGAUCGGGAGGAAUACCAGUGGCGAAGGCGGCCUUCUGGACUGACACUGACACUGAGGUGCGAAAGCGUGGGUAGCAAACAGGAUUAGAUACCCUUGUAGUC
rnacentral:rRNA from 1 species